GUUGUAAUCCUGAUUAUCGUAUAACACUGUUCAUCAGAAUUGUCAGAGACUCCAUGAUGAGACUGCAAGGAUAGCUGACCUAAAAACAGCUAGAUUGCACAGAUGAAGUGGUGUCAGUGGCUAUCUGAUGUAAAGGAAUGGGCAGCUGGUGGUUUAUUAGAAUAUUCCAGUUCCUUGCAGGAAGUGCACAUACCAAGUUUAAGUAAGUGUGAUUAAAAGGUUUUACAUAAAAUUCAAACAGAUAGACGGUUCUGUGUUGUUUUAAAAGUGGAUUUGCUUUCACUAUUUCUUCUACAGAGACACCUGAUACAUCUCGUGCCAGUCAAGGCACAACACACAGAGGAAUUCAGCAAUCAAUUGAGGGGCUGUACCUUGUGUGAGGCACCGGAAGCGAACCCUCUACCGUCAGAAUGACAGCAGCAAGUUUCGCCAACGCCUUCGAAGGAAGCUAGCGAUAGAUAUCUUCAGGAGAUACAGAAAUACAAUGAUCUUGUACUAGAAUCGGCAACAACCAUUGACGUAGCUGUGGUGGAGCAUUCCCUAACUGGAGAGAGUACCGUUUCUCAAAUAUGGCCGUGGGAGGUUCAUGGCAGUGAUAUGUCUGUUUUUAGAUGCUUCACAGGAAUUUAUUUUCAGUUCUGCUUUAUAGAGUAUAUUGAACUAAGGCAUGCAUGUUACAUUGAGUGUUGUAAUAUUCAUGUAGUUUAUUGGUGUAUUUUCAGAUUUCUUAUGUAUCAGUUUGAUAAAAAAGUAAAUGUUUGUAGUGAUUAUGCAAGAUUGUCUCAUGUAUACAUAUAACUGUUAUUGAUUCUUAGCAAACAUUUCAAUCAAGAAACGAGUGCACAACCAAGUGAUGUAAACGAGGUGACUGUAUGAGGAAACGAGUUUUGGUUUUGGAGAUGGCACAACACUGCACGUGGUUGCAGAGCCUGGCAAUGGUUCUCAAGAACAAGUUGGCUAAGGAGGUGAUUGGCGUGGGGAACCGGUAUUUAGGCCGGCUCAGGACCCGCGAGUUCACAGAGAGCUGG